rnacentral:rRNA from 1 species
GACGAACGCUGGCGGCGUGCUUAACACAUGCAAGUCGAACGGAGUUACGUAUGAAGUAUUUCGGUACGGACUACAUAACUUAGUGGCGAACGGGUGAGUAACACGUGGGCAACCUGCCCUUAACCGGGGGAUAACAUUGUGAAAACAGUGCUAAUACCGCAUAACAGAGUAUCGGGCAUCCGAUAUUUUUAAAAGGAGCAAUCCGGUUUAGGAUGGGCCCGCGUCCAAUUAGCUAGUUGGUGAGGUAACGGCUCACCAAGGCUACGAUUGGUAGCCGAACUGAGAGGUUGAUCGGCCACAUUGGGACUGAGACACGGCCCAGACUCCUACGGGAGGCAGCAGUGAGGAAUAUUGGUCAAUGGGCGCAAGCCUGAACCAGCCAUCCCGCGUGCAGGAAGACGGCCCUAUGGGUUGUAAACUGCUUUUCCAGGGAGAGAAACUUACGCACGUGUUGCGUGACUGACGGUACCCUGGGAAUAAGCGCCGGCUAACUACGUGCCAGCAGCCGCGGUAAA